CUCCUUUCUUUCUUCUUUCUUUACCUUUAUUUAACCAGAAAAAAGUCUCAUUGAGACUAAAAAUCUCUUUUACAGGAGCGUCCUGGCCAAGACAGGCAGCAAGGUUACAUGUCAAUUUCAACAUUCAACCACACAUACAAAAUAAACAAUUACCAACCAAAAAUCAAAAUUCAG